UGGAAUGCAGAACCCAUUAUUGAGCAGAUUUUAAAAUGUUUUCCUAGCUAAAGAAACUUGACUUGAUGAACCAGACUAUUUCCUUUUGCACAGGCUAGCCUCAAGCUCACAGUCCUCCUGUCUCAGCAUGCUUGGUGUUGAAGUGAGUAGUAGCCUAUGCCAUCAGGUUCAGCCCUGUUCUGCUUCAGCAAUCUUUCCACCUCUUUCCUAACCUCCUGCCGCCAUCCUUUUCUCUCACUUGUACACUGAUGCUUGCUGGCUCUCACCACAGGGAGAGAUCUUCAAGGCGCCACCACGCCCGGCCCGAGUUCAGGAUCCAAUCAUCUUUACACUCCCCAGAGAAGUCGUGACGCAACGCACUGUCUACAGUGAGAAACAAUCGAGUUGUACAAUCCCGAGACGAAAAGCUGACAUUGGCCUGGUCCUUAGAGAGAUGAGUUCAGACGUAGCUUGUCAUGGACUCAGAAGUGCCACUAAAGGUGAGGGAGAGUAUGGCAGUCUUGUGACAGUCCCACUGAAUAAAUGCUUUUAAAUCUAGUAACAAGGGAUUGGUGUACCUGUGCACUCAUCAUGGAAGACAGCCACGAUGUCCAUCUGUCAGUGCCUUCUUGUUCUAAUGUGUGUAUGUGUGCGGGUGGGCAUACAGAUGUGUACAGAGCUCAGAGGACAAUUCAAGGGUCAUCCUGAGAGCUACCGUCCAUCUCCUUUGAGAACUCUUCUCUAUGGUCUUGGAGCUCACAUUAGGCUAGGCUGGAAGGCUCCUCCAGGAAUACUCUUGUCUCUCCCUCCUUGAGGAUCACAACACAGCACAGUGCUCUGCAUGGUGUACUGGUGCUGGGGAUCGAACUUGGGUUCCUGUGGUUGCAAGGCCAACGCUUUACUGACUGAACCACCAUCCCCUAGCCCACACUGCUAGUGUCUUUUUAAUGUUUAUACAGAUAUCUUUUUUUUUCUUUUUUAGUGGUAGGUGAUUAAUUUGGAGAGAUGAUAAAAUCUAGACAGAUUUCUCAGUCACAUUGAUGACAGUAAAGGCAUUAAGAAUAUGAUUGUGGGCACCAGCUCUAUCACUCAGCCUAUCACUAUGAAAAUACGUCUGACUGCUGGUGACCAGCAAUUAUCUUCCUCCAUUUAAUCGAAAGCCACAUGGUAUUUUAAAAAUGAAACUCCUUUCAAAACUGCCUCUGCCUACAAAUGUCAACUGGUGGGACAGCUUUUCCUUCUGCACUGACACAGUUUGACUUAUGCUGCAGUUCAUGUUCAUGUGCAUUAAAUGUUAAAGGAGAAGGAAAUGCUCAUCCAAAGCACUGGUACCUUGUCAACGCUGGCCAAUCCUGAGGUGAUCUUCAGGUUGGAACCAGGAUUUGAGCCUUCAAAGGCAACAAGAAUCAACAGCUUUCCGGGUCCCAAGUUAGUCUAAGGAGAGGCAGAUAGAAUGUUCUCAUAAAUCUGCCUUCUCGAAAAUUUACCAUCCUAGGGAGGUUCUAAGCCAAGAAAAACAACACACCUGAACAAAAAGCUCAUCUGUCACUUAACACUCAAUCCUUGUUUGUUUAAUUUUUAUUCAGCCUAAGGCAGGUCUUGCUGGCCUUCUAUAGAUCUGUCUGGGCCAGAAGCACGUCUCUGAAGUGCUGGGGUCACAUGCUUGCACCACGGAACCUGGCUGGAUUCAGAUUUUAAAUAUGGUUGCACAGUAGGGGAGGGGGGUUCCUCAUCCCGUUGUAAAAUGCUACAUGUUAAACAUCAAGAGAGCAAACAAACUGUUACAAAUGGUUUCUAGGACUGAAG
ensembl:processed_transcript Gm7457 predicted gene 7457